rnacentral:rRNA from 1 species
UACGUAGGGGGCAAGCGUUGUCCGGAAUUAUUGGGCGUAAAGAGCGUGUAGGCGGCCCGGUAAGUCCGCUGUAAAAGUCAAAGGCUCAACCUUUGAAUGUCAGUGGAUACUGCCGGGCUAGAGUCCGGAAGAGGCGAGUGGAACUCCUGGUGUAGCGGUGGAAUGCGCAGAUAUCAGGAGGAACACCAAUAGCGAAGGCAGCUCGCUGGGACGUUACUGACACUGAGGCGCGAAAGCGUGGGGAGCGAACAGG